rnacentral:lncRNA from 1 species
UCUCGGCCGUCGCCGCCGUAGACCCCGGCGAGGGCACCAGUGGGCCGCCGGUGAUCGCCGUUUCUAGGAGAGCUGACCCGUCAUCGGGACUCGGCACCGCUCCGCCCAUUGAGGGGACCAGCGGCCUGCCGCCGCCGCCACCGGCGAUCUUUGGAGCUGCUGGCCCGUCAUCGGGUUCCAGCACCUCUGCCGACGCAUGCGUCUCGGCCGUCGCCGCCGUAGACCCCGGCGAGGGCACCAGUGGGCCGCCGGUGAUCGCCGUUUCGAGGAGAGCUGACCCGUCAUCGGGACUCGGCACCGCUCCGCCCAUUGAGGGGACCAGCGGCCUGCCGCCGCCGCCACCGGCGAUCUUUGGAUCUGCUGGCCCGUCAUCGGGUUCCAGCACCUCUGCCGACGCAUGCGUCUCGGCCGCCGCCGCCGUAGACCCCGGCGAGGGCACCAGUGGGCCGCCGGUGAUCGCCGUUUCGAGGAGAGCUGACCCGUCAUCGGGACUCGGCACCGCUCCGCCCAUUGAGGGGACCAGCGGCCUGCCGCCGCCGCCACCGGCGAUCUUUGGAUCUGCUGGCCCGUCAUCGG